rnacentral:rRNA from 1 species
CAGCCGCCGCGGUAAUACAGAGGUCGCGAGCGUUGUUCGGAUUCACUGGGCGUAAAGGGUGCGUAGGUGGUUGGUUAAGUUUGAGGUGAAAGCUCCGAGCUCAACUCGGAAAAUGCCUUGAAGACUAUCUGACUAGAGGAUUGGAGGGGAGAUUGGAAUUCUCGGUGUAGCAGUGAAAUGCGUAGAUAUCGAGAGGAACACCAGUGGCGAAGGCGAAUCUCUGGACAAUUCCUGACACUGAGGCACGAAAGCCAAGGGAGCAAACGGGAUUAGAUACCCCGGUAGUCUUGGCUGUAAACGGUGCGCACUUGCUGUGAGCGGAUUCGACCCCGCUCGUGGCGUAGUUAACACGAUAAGUGCGCCGCCUGGGAAGUACGGUCGCAAGAUUAAAACUUAAAUGAAUUGACGG